rnacentral:rRNA from 1 species
CCAAGCGUUAUCCGGAUUUAUUGGGUUUAAAGGGUGCGUAGGCGGCUUGCUAAGUCAGUGGUGAAAGUUUGCAGCUUAACUGUAAAAUUGCCAUUGAUACUGACGAGCUUGAAUAUAGUUGAGGUAGGCGGAAUGAGUCAAGUAGCGGUGAAAUGCAUAGAUAUGACUCAGAACACCGAUUGCGAAGGCAGCUUACUAAGCUAUUAUUGACGCUGAGGCACGAAAGCGUGGGGAUCGAACAGGAUUAGAUACCCUGGUAGUCCACGCCCUAAACGAUGAUUACUCGAUGUCGGCGAUAUACAGUCGGCGUCAAAGCGAAAGCGUUAAGUUAAUCCACCUGGGGAGUUACGGUCGCAAGAUUGAAACUCAAAGGAAUUGAACCGGGGGCCCCCCACAAGCCGGAGGAGCAUGUGGGUUUUAAUUCCGAUGAUACGCCANGAACCUUACCCCGGGCUUGAAAUUUAGUUGAAAGAUUUUAGAAAUAAUUCGUCCCGCCAAGACACGAACUAGUUGCUGCAUGCUGUCGUCAGCUCCUGCCGUGAGUUGUU